ensembl:snoRNA
UACAGAAGGCUGAGAAAGUGGGGCAGCUUAGUACCACGCUGCCUUUCGCUGGUUAAGACCUGUGAGAGCAAAGGUAGCCAAGGGACAUCAGUUUCCACUGCUACCUUCAAAAAGGCGGCGCUGUGCUGACUGGCAUCUG